GUGGGGAAUAUUGGACAAUGGGCGCAAGCCUGAUCCAGCCAUGCCGCGUGAGUGAUGAAGGCCUUAGGGUUGUAAAGCUCUUUCAGCUGGGAAGAUAAUGACGGUACCAGCAGAAGAAGCCCCGGCUAACUUCGUGCCAGCAGCCGCGGUAAUACGAAGGGGGCUAGCGUUGUUCGGAAUCACUGGGCGUAAAGCGCACGUAGGCGGAUCGAUAAGUCAGGGGUGAAAUCCCGAGGCUCAACCUCGGAACUGCCUUUGAUACUGUCGAUCUUGAGUCCGGGAGAGGUGAGUGGAACUCCGAGUGUAGAGGUGAAAUUCGUAGAUAUUCGGAAGAACACCAGUGGCGAAGGCGGCUCACUGGCCCGGUACUGACGCUGAGGUGCGAAAGCGUGGGGAGCAAACAGGAUUAGAAACCCUUGUAGUCC
rnacentral:rRNA from 1 species